ensembl:snoRNA
UACCUCCUGGUGCUUACCACGGGCUAUGUUCUUACACUGACGGUAUAGAAAGAGGCAGCAGAGUAAAACUACCUAUGUACACCCCAGCCCAGGCCCCAUGUCUGGUCUGUAUUGUGAAUGGGGGAACAUGG